AGUGAACGCUGGCGGCAGGCCUAACACAUGCAAGUCGAACGGCAGCACAGCAGUAGCAAUACUGUGGGUGGCGAGUGGCGGACGGGUGAGGAAUGCAUCGGAAUCUGCCUCGUUGUGGGGGAUAACGUAGGGAAACUUACGCUAAUACCGCAUACGACCUACGGGUGAAAGUGGGGGACCUUCGGGCCUCACGCGAUGAGAUGAGCCGAUGCCGGAUUAGCUAGUUGGCGGGGUAAAGGCCCACCAAGGCGACGAUCCGUAGCUGGUCUGAGAGGAUGAUCAGCCACACUGGAACUGAGACACGGUCCAGACUCCUACGGGAGGCAGCAGUGGGGAAUAUUGGACAAUGGGGGCAACCCUGAUCCAGCCAUGCCGCGUGUGUGAAGAAGG
rnacentral:rRNA from 1 species